UAGAGUUUGAUCCUGGCUCAGGACAAACGCUGGCGGCGUGCCUAACACAUGCAAGUCGAACGCCCUGCGCAAGCAGGGAGUGGCGGACGGGUGAGUAACACGUGGGCUACCUACCUUUCGGUGAGGAAUACCGGCGAGAAAUCGCCGACAAUACCGCAUACGCUUCUUUCACGAGAAGCAAAGUCGCAAGACGCCGAAUGAUGGGCCUGCGUCCGAUUAGCCAGUUGGUGGGGUCACGGCUCACCAAAGCGACGAUCGGUAGCUGGUCUGAGAGGACGAUCAGCCACACUGGGAUUGAGAACGGCCCAGACUCCUACGGGGGGCAGCAGUGAGGAAUCUUCGUCAAUGGGGGCAACCCUGAACGAGCAACGCCGCGUGCAGGAGGACGGUUUUCGGAUCGUAAACUGCUUUUCUCGGGGACGACACAAAGGACGGUACCCGAGGAACAAGCCCCGGCUAACUACGUGCCAGCAGCCGCGGUAAUACGUAGGGGGCGAGCGUUGUCCGGAGUUACUGGGCGUAAAGCGCGCGCAGGCGGUCCAUUAAGUCUGGAGUGACAGUUCCCAGCUUACCUGGGAAAGGUCUUCGGAAACUGGUGGACUUGAGGGACUCAGAGGGAGACGGAAUUCCAGGUGGAGCGGUGAAAUGCGUAGAGAUCUGGAGGAACACCAAAGGCGAAGGCAGUCUCCUGGGAGUUUCCUGACGCUCAGGCGCGAAAGCCAGGGGAGCGAACGGGAUUAGAUACCCCGGGUAGUCCUGGCCGUAAACGAUGACCACCAGGCGUGGGAGGGAUCGACCCCUUCCGUGCCGGCGCUUACGCUUUGAGUGGUCCGCCUGGGGAGUACGGUCGCAAGAUUAAAACUCAAAGGAAUUGACGGGGACCCGCACAAGCAGCGGAGCGUGUGGUUUAAUUCGAUGCAACGCGAAGAACCUUACCAAAGCUUGACAUGCACUCGCACCAGCCGUAAUGGGCUCUUCCUUCGGGGCGGGUGUGCGGGUGCUGCAUGGCUGUCGUCAGCUCGUGUCGUGAGAUGUUGGGUUCAGUCCCGCAACGAGCGCAACCCCUGUCGCUAGUUGAAUGUUCUAGCGAGACCGCCGUCUCAAAACGGAGGAAGGUGGGGAUGACGUCAAGUCAGCACGGCCCUGACGCUUUGGGCGACACACACGCUACAAUGGCCGGGACAAUGGGUUGCCAACCCGCGAGGGGGAGCCAAUCCCACAAACCCGGUCUCAGUUCGGAUUGCAGGCUGCAACUCGCCUGCAUGAAGUCGGAGUUGCUAGUAACCGCAAGUCAGCACAUUGCGGUGAAUACGUUCCCGGGUCUUGUACACACCGCCCGUCACACCACGAAAGUUGACAACAUCUGAAGCCGCCGGGCUAACCCGCAAGGGGGGCAGGCGUCGAGGGUGGGGCCAAUGAUUGGGGUGAAGUCGUAACAAGGUAGCCGUA
rnacentral:rRNA from 1 species